GGUGUUGUGGUGUAGUUGAUUAUCAUGUUUGUCUUACAAUUAAAGGUCCCUAGUUCAAAUUUAGGUUUUUUUA
rnacentral:tRNA from 1 species